GAUGAAGAACGUAGCGAAACGCGAUAGGUAAUGUGAAUUGCAGAAUUCAGUGAAUCAUCGAAUCUUUGAACGCACAUUGCGCCCCCUGGUAUUCCGGGGGGCAUGCCUGUUCGAGCGUCAUUUCACCACUCAAGCCUCGCUUGGUAUUGGGCAACGCGGUCCGCCGCGUGCCUCAAAUCGACCGGCUGGGUCUUCUGUCCCCUAAGCGUUGUGGAAACUAUUCGCUAAAGGGUGUUCGGGAGGCUACGCCGUAAAACAACCCCAUUUCUAAGGUUGACCUCGGAUCAGGUAGGGAUACCCGCUGAACUUAAGCAUAUCAAUAAGCGGAGGA
rnacentral:misc_RNA from 1 species